rnacentral:lncRNA from 1 species
AGACCCCCCAGCACCCAGCAGGAUGGGGUUAGGGGCAGUUUAACUCCUUCAUCCCUGGGGUUUUAUUAAAAAAAAAUAAAAUUAAAUUUAUGGGUUUAAACGGAACGCAGGCAGGAGCUGGAGUGGGGCUGGGAGGGGUCCAGGAGCUCAAACCCCCAGGACCAGCACAGCACCAAACCCUCCCUGAGAUCCCGUGGGAUCUCAAAGGGAGAUUUCCACAAACACGAGGGAAUGUUGGUUCAGGGAGGGUGCAAAAGGAAACCAUCACCGGGCACUCCAGCUCUGACCCUGACACAAACUCUUCCUUCUUUUCUAAGCACCAAACCUCACAAAUUCCAUUUUAAAAACCCCAAAAACAAAACAAAACAAAACAAAACAAAAAAACAACCAAAAAACCAAAAAAAAAAAAAACCAAAAACAAAAACAAAAAAACCACAAGCAACAACAACAAAACCCCCAAAACAAAACAAAAAACCCCCCAAAAAACCCCAAAACAAAAAACAAAAAAAACCCCCCCAAAAAAACCCACCCAGCCAACCAAACAAAAAAAAAAAAAAAACACCAAAAAAACCCCUAAAAAUAUCCCAAAACACCAAGAAAACCCCAGUAAAGUUCACCAAAAAUCCAAAUUUUCUCCCAGAGGUGACCCAGGAGGGUCUCAGCCCUUACCCCAGCAGAGCUUCCCUCCAGGAGGGAGAAUUUGGGGAAUGCUCGUUGUGGAGCCAGCCCAGUAUCUGCCCGGGCUGGGAGGGGCAGGACAGGGCCCCUUUAUCUGCCCCAGCAGCUGCAGGGCUGGGGGCUCCCCCACCCCACCAGGAACGGCCCCAGCUCACCCAGACAGGGGAGCCUGGCAUGGGCAGCCGUGCCAGGAGGGAAUUCUGCCUAAAACACAACCCUAAAAUCCAGUCCCAACCUAAAACCCAACCCCAACCUAAAACCCAACCUUCAAAUCCAGUCCCAACCUAAAACCCAACCCCAACCUAAAACCCAACCUUCAAAUCCAGUCCCAACCUAAAAC